GCAGAAAGAAGAAAAGGGAAUAGAUAAUCUCAAAACUGAACUGAUUGCAAAGGAAGCAAGAGGAAAAGCAGGUCUGUAGCCUACAAACCUCAAGAGAAGAGAUGUUUCAAGUAGAAUUCCAUUAGACAUCUUGCAUAUGUAUGUUGGAAAAACAACAAAGGAUUAAGAACAAAAGACGAGGCUUAAGAUGUAUACUUUCCACGUGAGACAUGUGAAAAGUCCAAUUAUUUGGAAGAAAUCAUUCUGAUAUAUGUGUGUACCUAUAGAACUAGAGACAUGGAACAGAAAUAGUAUGUUGCAGCAGCAGGAGCAAAGUGGUAUAACACACAGACUUUGAUACAAUAAUGGAAGCAGGAGGGU